rnacentral:rRNA from 1 species
CGCGCAGGUGGUUUCUUAAGUCUGAUGUGAAAGCCCACGGCUCAACCGUGGAGGGUCAUUGGAAACUGGGGAACUUGAGUGCAGAAGAGGAAAGUGGAAUUCCAAGUGUAGCGGUGAAAUGCGUAGAGAUUUGGAGGAACACCAGUGGCGAAGGCGACUUUCUGGUCUGUAACUGACACUGAGGCGCGAAAGCGUGGGGAGCGAACA